rnacentral:lncRNA from 1 species
GAGAAAGUGAACGAAGAUAUCGAUUAAAUUCGAUAAAUAGUGGUUUGUAUUUCUAUAAACCGAGCUUAAUCGUUAUUGCUAUAUUUGAUAUUUAUAUUGUAUGAAAAUGUGAAUGAGGUAAGUAUUUUUACCAUAUUGAAAUGGAUGUGAUUUUGAAUACCCUAUUAACAGUGUCGGGCUAGUCGGAUAUAGUUGGCAUGUCAUAGGAAUUGGAAGUAUUGGGAUAUUCUGACAUUGAGUCGAUGAGACACUAUGUGUCGACUACUGUUAAAAUUCCGGAUUUGUUCCGAUGAAAAUGUGAAUGAGGUAAGUAUUUUUACCAUAUUGAAAUGAAUGUGAUUUUGAAUACCCUAUUAACAGUGUCGGGCUAGUCGGAUAUAGUUGGCAUGUCAUAGGAAUUGGAAGUAUUGGGAUAUUCUGACAUUGAGUCGAUGAGACACUAUGUGUCGACUACUGUUAAAAUUCCGGAUUUGUUCCGAUGAAGUACUUUGUGUACUAUAAUGUUAAAGUUCCGGAUUUGUUCCGAUGAAGCACUAUGUACUUAUCCCGGAGUGUGGGUUGGAUCCGUGUAUCCGUUAGUGUCCGAGUUAUGUUAAUAAGGGUAAAUAAAGUAAAGAUUAUUAAAGUACUGAUUGAUAUUGAAUAAUAGCAAUAAUGUGUUUGAAUUACCAUGUUUUAAAGUUGAUUAAGCUAUUGUUUAUAGAAAUACCACUGAGAGUAUUCUCAGCGUACGGUUUGUUUCCGUGCGCAGGCUAGGUACAAAAGUAUAAGGACUCAGCAUACAAGCCGAUCCCCGAACUCAAAUUGGUGAAGUUUCUAUCUUUUUGGAAAAUGACAUUGUACCUAGGAUGUCUUUUGGUCAUUUUGAAAGUAUCUAAGUUGUUAAGUGAUAUUUUGGUAUGUUUUGUAAAUGUUACCAAAACCUUAAGUAUGGUAUGUUUUGAUAUGUUAGUG